rnacentral:rRNA from 1 species
AUACGUAGGUGGCGAGCGUUGUUCGGAUUUAUGGGGCGUAAAGGGUCCGCAGGGGGUCUGUCAAGUCUGAUGUGAAAUCUCGAGGCUUAACCUCGAAACUGCAUUGGAAACUGGCAGACUAGAGUAUCGGAGAGGAGAGUGGAAUUCCUGGUGUAGCGGUGGAAUGCGUAGAUAUCAGGAAGAACACCAACAGCGAAGGCAGCUCUCUGGACGAUUACUGACCCUCAUGGACGAAAGCGUGGGUAGCAAACAGGAUUAGAAACCCUAGUAGUCC